CCCCCAUGGAUAGCUCAGUUGAUUAGAGUGUGGUGCUGAUGAUAAUGCCAGGGUUGCAGGUUUGAUCCCUGUAUGGGCCAGGU
rnacentral:tRNA from 1 species